rnacentral:rRNA from 1 species
UAUGAUCAGAUGAGUAGGAGGGCGUGGUGGCCGUGUCGAAGCAUGCGUGCAGACGCGUGUGGAACGGCCACUAGUGCAGAUCUUGGUGGUAGUAGCAAGUAUUCAAGCGAGAUCCUUGAAGGGCGAAGCGGGGAAGGGUUCCACGCGAACAUUGAUUGGGCGUGGGUGAGUCGUUCCUAAGCCGAGUGGCGAUUGCUAAGUAGCGGCGAAAGAGAAGCGGGUUGACAUUCCCGCACACGGAUGUGGAGGCGGUGACGCGUAUUGGGGCGAACACGCUGGCGACGGCGCUGGGCAGAGUUGUCUUUUCUGUUUGACCUACUUUGCACGCGGUGUGGAAUCCGCUUGUCGGGAGAAACACGCGUGUCGGGGCAGAGCGCCGGGGCUUUUCCGGCGUCCAGCUCGCCGUCGACGGCCCUUGAAACUUUGCCUGCUGAUAUCCACGCCGUGGCGUACCGAUCACCGCAUCAGGUCCCCAAGGUGAACAGCCUCUGCUCGAUAUGAACAAUGCAGGUAAGGGAAGUCGGCAAAUUAGACCCGUAACUUUGGGAUAAGGGUUGGCUCUAGUGCUGCGUGGGAGUGGUUGCCGAGUGUCGGGGCUGUUGGUGAGGCUGGCUGCGCG